AUUGAACGCUGGCGGCAGGCCUAACACAUGCAAGUCGAGCGGAUGACGGGAGCUUGCUCCUUGAUUCAGCGGCGGACGGGUGAGUAAUGCCUAGGAAUCUGCCUGGUAGUGGGGGACAACGUUUCGAAAGGAACGCUAAUACCGCAUACGUCCUACGGGAGAAAGCAGGGGACCUUCGCGCCUUGCGCUAUCAGAUGAGCCUAGGUCGGAUUAGCUAGUUGGUGAGGUAAUGGCUCACCAAGGAGACGAUCCGUAACUGGUCUGAGAGGAUGAUCAGUCACACUGGAACUGAGACACGGUCCAGACUCCUACGGGAGGCAGCAGCGGGGAAUAUUGGACAAUGGGCGAAAGCCUGAUCCAGCCAUGCCGCGUGUGUGAAGAAGGUCUUCGGAUUGUAAAGCACUUUAAGUUGGGAGGAAGGGCAGUAAGCUAAUACCUUGCUGUUUUGACGUUACCGACAGAAUAAGCACCGGCUAACUCUGUGCCAGCCGCCGCGGUAAUAC
rnacentral:rRNA from 1 species